rnacentral:rRNA from 1 species
AGCGAACGCUGGCGGCAGGCUUAACACAUGCAAGUCGAGGGGAGCGGCAGACGGGUGAGUAACGCGUGGGGACGUACCUUUUGGUUCGGAACAACACAGGGAAACUUGUGCUAAUACCGGAUACCGAAAGAUCGGCCCGGGUCUGAUUAGCUGGUUGGUGAGGUAAUGGCUCACCAAGGCGACGAUCAGUAGCUGGUCUGAGAGGAUGAUCAGCCACAUUGGGACUGAGACACGGACCAAACUCCUACGGAAGGCAGCAGGGGGGAAUAUGUGACAAUGGGGGCAACAAUGAUCCAGCCAGGCCGCGUGAGUGAUGAAGGCCAUAGGGUUGUAAAGCGCUGUUGUGCGGGAAGCGGUACCGCAAGAAUAAGCACCGGCUAACUCCGUGCCAGCAGCCGCGGUAAUAC